AGAGUUUGAUCAUGGCUCAGGAUGAACGCUGGCGGCGCGCCUAACACAUGCAAGUCGAACGGACGAUGAAAAGCUUGCUUUUCAAAGUUAGUGGCGGACGGGUGAGUAACGCGUGGGUAACCUGCCUCAUACAGGGGAAUAGCAGCUGGAAACGGCUGAUAAAACCGCAUAAGCGCACAGUGCCGCAUGGCACAGUGUGAAAAACUCCGGUGGUAUGAGAUGGACCCGCGUCUGAUUAGCUGGUUGGCGGGGUAACGGCCACCAAGGCGACGAUCAGUAGCCGGCCUGAGAGGGUGAUCGGCCACAUUGGGACUGGAGACACGGCCCAAACUCCUACGGAGGCA
rnacentral:rRNA from 1 species